rnacentral:misc_RNA from 1 species
UUGAAAACAUACACACAGGAUUGUUGCUGGCUAGGAUUCAUUUUCUAGCAUCGUGCACAUCCGUCUUCAUUACCCACACACACUUGUGAACCUAUUGUAGAUCGCAAGAUCUAUGUCUUUAAUUCAUCACAUAUCCAUCGUAUGUCUAUAGAAUGUUACAAAUAUAAUA